rnacentral:rRNA from 1 species
GACGAACGCUGGCGGCGUGCUUAACACAUGCAAGUCGAACGGAAAGGCCCUGCUUUUGUGGGGUGCUCGAGUGGCGAACGGGUGAGUAACACGUGAGUAACCUGCCCCUGACUUUGGGAUAACUUCAGGAAACUGGGGCUAAUAUCGGAUAGGAGCUCCUGCUGCAUGGUGGGGGUUGGAAAGAUUCGGCGGUUGGGGAUGGACUCGCGGCUUAUCAGCUUGUUGGUGGGGUAGUGGCUUACCAAGGCUUUGACGGGUAGCCGGCCUGAGAGUGUGACCGGCCACAUUGGGACUGAGAUACGGCCCAGACUCCUACGGGAGGCAGCAGUGGGAAAUAGUGCGCAAUGGGCGGAAGGCUGAUGCAGCAACGCCGCGUGCGGGAUGACUGCCUUCGGGUUGUAAACCGCGUUCGCCUGUGACGAAGCGUGAGUGACGGUAAUGGGUAAGGAAGCACCGGCUAACUACGUG